UCUGGAGGGAGCCCUGAAGUGCCGCAGGACCCGCAGGCCAGCCCCGAACGUGGCAGGGGCAGCUCCGCGUCGUUUGUCUCUGGCUUCGACCCCACUCGCGGUGCCGCCGCACCCUCGCUGCCGUCCAGGGAGUCAGCCUCGCGCCUUCUGUUCAUCUUGACUUAGUCCCUCGGUAGGAGACGGGCAGUCAGACUGUUGCUGCAGGUGACGCCCGCUGGGAGCCGGAUGGCGAUGUCAGUUUCCAGCAAGAGCUGUCAUUUCUCCCCCCCCCCGCCCCCCAGCAAUCCCAGUCUUAUUUAGAGUGAAAGAUGACACUUUUUUUGUUUUGUACUGGGCAUCGAACUUGGGUCCUUGCGCUUACGAGGCAGGCGGCCGAACCACUGAGGUAAAUCCCGGGCCCUGACACUUUUUUUUUUUUUUGGUACCGGGGAUCGAACUCGGGUCCUUGCACUUGCGCACCAGGCGGCGAAACCACUGAGCUAAAUCCCCGGCUCCUAGAUGACACACUUUUAAAAGAAAGUAUCUACAGUUCUGGAAAGGUCACCUGAGAUUAAAAUAUGAGAGGUUCAGGGGCGAGGGCCACGACUUUAUGCCAACAGCACGGUGUGCAUUUAAUCUCUGAAAAGCUCACUCCUGCCUCAGCCUCCCGAGUGCCGGGAUGACAGGCGUGUGCCACUCACUGUGCGUGUCCCGUCAGUGGUUCCGGGGAACGUGGAAGAGUAUGUCACGCAGGGCACACAGCCGGGAGCAGCGUGCUGAGUGGGACCCUCCAGUCCAUGCAGUGCCCCCUUGCUGCCCAGGCAGGCCUGGCUCGGGCCGCCAGUCGUGAGAGCCGCCCGCCUCGCAUUGCCGGGUUCGCGUGGCGCGCAUCAGGCUGGCAGGACCCCACCCCCACCCCGGCAGUCAAGCCUGCCCUCCCUCCGCAGCCCGAGCCCAGGCCUGAGCCAGUCACAGCCAAGCUCCGCGAAUGACGCUCGCUCACGUGACAGCAGCCCGGGACGCACGGGGGCGCCAGGGCACAGCGCAGGGGCGGCGCUCUCGCCCUUGUGAGCGCGGGGCACCGUGGGAAGUGCAGGAGCAGAAGAGGCCUCACCCCGUGACCUCGCAGCCAUGGUAACAGCGCCGCGCACGGCCGCCGCCGGUGAGGUGAGGCUGGAGCGAGCCGGUGCCAGCCUCGCGGGAGAGCGCCGACCUCUGCUGAGCGCGGUCUCGAAGUGCUCCAGGGUUGCUUCCUCUGGGCAUCCGGUAGGGAGCUCCUGGUUCUCAGUCUUUUUAGAACUUGCUGGAGGUCCGUGACUUCCGGGGAGCGACGGGACUCUCCAGAACCCUCGAGCUCCAGGUUGCAGGGCCAAGGAGCUAGCGGGUCUCAGGAAAUCCAAGUCGCUCUGGCCGGCUUAUGGUCUUUGAUUGCCUGAGGCGUGGGCGCAGCUCGGGGUGGCAGUCACUGUGCUCCUGAGUCAGUGCUGCUGGUUCCUGUCCCCGGCUGGGGUGACUGCACCUGCCAAGACCUCCGCGGUGGCCGUGACCCAGUUAGGGCAGCGCCAUGCGGCUCGUUUCCUGGUCGUCCUGUCCAAGGAGCCGGCCCGGGUUAUUCCUCCCGUCCAGGUUCCUUGGCAACGAACCCACCUGUGCUGCCCUUGAAAAAGAGGCCGUUUUCAGGGUUCAGGGCGACUCCCGGGGCUCGCGGACUGGGUGUCAGCAGGCACUGGGUCCAGGCUGGGGGCAGGAUGGGCCCCGCUGCCCAGGGAAGACUGCUACACCCCAGCCCACAGACGUCUGCCUGUCUUUCCACCCCACCCUGUUCCAAGUUCCUCCGAGGAAGUGACCUCAGCCCACCUUCUGCCAGUGCCUGGGGCCGGGUGGCACACGGGGUGGAGCAGCCUCUUCCACUCUCUCCAUCUCUGUCUCUCUUUUGUCCUGGGGACUGAACCCAAGGCCUUCGCCCUGAACUACAUCCCCAGCCCUUUUUAAUGUUGUUUUGUGUAGCCCAGACUGGCCUGGACUUGCAGUCUGCUGCCUUUUAGCGCUCAUGGGUGCUCUGUAGACGCUGCUUCUCCAGCUGGGGCACCCUGGGCCCCCAAGACUGCAGCACCACAAGCUUAUCUCCUCUGGGCUCCUCAGGACAAUCAGUAGACUCAUCAGUCCCAGCUUUGACGGGUGUGUAGUGUUUGGUGACUACAGGGCACACGUCGAUGGUAUGUGAGUUUCACAAGAACCCGAUGAAGGCAAGUGGACCAGAAGUGUCCCCACCCCAAGACGCACAAUAGAGACCAGGGCUGGCGCGUGUGAGCCCUGGGUUCCAUCGCAGCAUUGCAGAAAAAAAAAAAAAAAUAACUUGCUCAAGACUGAGUAAGUGGUAAAGGCAGGACUAGAAUUCAGGCCACCUAAUUCUUCAGUAUUUGUUUUGUUUUAUUUUGUUUCAGAGUUCUUGCAUGAAUAAAAAAUAUGUAACUGGUAGGUGUCACACUAUUCAUUUUUAGGGGGUUGACUUUAAACUGACUUAACAACUUUAAUUUCCAAAUGUUUUAAUUUUUGUACAUUUAUUGCUUUAUCAUCGAUUCUAAGUCCUAAGAUAAUAUUUUUAUUUAUUUAACUUCUCUAUAUGUCAUAGUUGUGUAAUUUAGGAUUUACCAACUAUAUCACACCUGCAGUUGUCACCUUCCAGGAAGCCAUCUCACGAGGGCAGGGACGUUUGGCAGUGUCUUUCACGCAUGAACUUCGACCCCAAGAAGAGCCCAACACACUGUAGGCCUCACAUAUUUGUUGAAUCUACUUUUGAUUCCACACAGAUGCAUGCUUGUAAUCAACACCUACUUGGUGCGUUUUGUAGGUUGGCGCCUCCUGGUGUCUGCUCCGGGGAAUCCCACAUCCCCUCACACUGUUCCUACUCACACAGGUGUGCGUCUGUAUACAUGUGGAUAGAUAAAUGCACACAGAUGAACACUUUUUCCCAUGUAUGAAAAGGAUUUUUUUAAAAAAUCAGAUAUUGUUGGAAUAAACUUUCUCAUAUAUAAUAGUAUAAGAUAAGAACCUACCUGGAUCACUGAUUUAGCUGGAAUCAAGGGCUUGGUUUUUGUUUUUUAGUACCAGAGAUUGAACUCGGGACCUCGCACUUGCAAGGCAGGCAGCAGCACCACUGAGCUAAAUCCCCCGCCCUGAUUUAGCUGGAGAAAAGACAAAAUUCUAAGACUUUUAAGAAAUUGCAAUGUUAAUGUUUUAUAUCAUGUGGAUUCAUGGUGUCAUCCGAGUUCUGUUGUCCACAAUAAUCAAUGAGCGUAAAAAAGCUGUAGAGAUUCAAAUCCACAGUGCACAAGUGGACAGCAAAAGCUUGAAGCUACGGUGUCUCGUACAGGACAUGCCAGGACGUCUUCCCAGGGGUCCGUCCCAGCAAUGAGUGGCUCUGCCCUCCAGUGUCCUCCUGCACCUGAAUCACUUGGCCUUUCCUUUUCUGUCGUUGAGCACAGAGGCCUGAGCAUCUUCCUUGUGUUUUUUAAAACAAAUUAUUGAAAAUUUAAAUGCAGGUAGGAAAAUGAGAACAUUUUCUAUAGUCUGUUCACCGAGGUAUGAUUACCGUUAAUCUCUAAAUAUAUUGGGCCUCUCCUCCCCCACCCAAACUAAUUGCCUUAUUUUUCUAUAUCUACAAAAGUAAGAAUAAUUCAAAGGUGCAUACGAUAGUAAUUUCCUCUUUCCCUCUCUCUGUGCUCCCCCCUCACACUCCAAUCUCCACGGGUAACCACCGCUAGUUUAUAUUGUGCAUUUAUCUAGAAUUUUCUAUGCAUGGAAACACUUAUUUUUCUCAAAAGCAAGGUAUCAUAAAAAAAAAAAAAGCAAGGUAUCAUAAUACGAUUCUGCAACUUUUCUUCUCUCAAAAAACAUCUCAAGUAUCAUUGGAGCUGUUUCUGGUUUUGAUUUCUGUAUUUAGUUAUGAGAAUCCAUCAUUAUUUGUAAAACCAAUCUCCUCUGAAUGGACACUGUUAUUCCCAGCUGAACAUGCUGUUGGAAGGAAGACCCCACUGGAGGAGGUGAGUCAUUGGUCUGUCUCUCAUUGGUGCUCUUUCCCCAGGGCUCUGCUGCUCAGCCACCAUGAACUAAGCAUCUUUCCUCCACCAGGCCCUUCUGUGAUGAUGUUCUUGCCGUCGGGCCUGCCGAUCAUGGACCUAACCCUCUGAAAUCGCAUCCCAGUCAGUGGAUGUGAAGUCGUACUUUACUGUGGCUUUGAGUUCUAAUUCCCUAAUGACUAAUGAUGUUGAAAUUGUUUGUGCUGAUUGGCCAUUUGUCCAUCUUCUUUAGAGAAACAUCUCUCCCAAUUCUUGCUUUUUUGAGUGGAUUGUUUUAUUAUUGAGUUGUGAAAAUUCUUUGCACAUCUGGACACAGAUCACUUAUCAGACAUCUGAUUUGCCAGUAUGCUAUCGCAUUGUAUGCGUUGUCAUUUCGUGGAAUGAGCUGGGACAUAUUCCUUCUUCUUCUGUCUUUGGAAGCUCGUUAUUACUUCUCUGAAUGUUUGGUGGAAGUAACUCGCCAGUGAAGCCAUGUGGGUCGGCUUUUUUGUGGGAAGUUCUCACAUUCUCAUUGUGAACGACCAGACUUCUCUUUCUCUGUGACGUUAAGGUGAGAUUUUUAUAUUCUAAAUGGAGAGCCAAUUAUUCUAAUGCCACUUACUGACUAAUCCACCUGUUCCCACCAACUUCAGACACGCAGACAACUGAUGUAGACGCUGGGGACCCCGACUGCCACUUAGCAAGGCCAGUCUGCUGCUUUGGCAAGGGAGGCACUCUGUGCUGGGGGGCCUGGGACACGGGUCCUGCCUUCCCGCUGUCACUGCCGACGUGUUGGCAGUCUGAACCCCCAGGGCUUUGUCCUUAGGCUGGAAGCCCAUUUGCUGGACACCUAAUAGCCAUACUGCUCUGGGAGCCCAAGCUGCCAGCAGCGUCUAGUCCCCGGGUGGCUCUCAGUGACUUGACCUUGGCGUGCACUUGUCCCUCUGCCCUUCCCCGUGCUCGCCUUCUUUUCAGACCUUAGACUUGGGCUCCCUUACCCAGGGGCAGCGUCCAUGACCUCCACCCUGCAGAGCUCACCUGGGGUCACCUGUGUGGACCCUGCCUGCCAUGGCCUGAGCACUUCCCUCUCAGCCUGAUCCUGUGCCCCAGGCGCUAAACGGAGCAGGAGGGGAUGGCGAGAAGGGACCAGGAUGGAGCCUGGGGGGCAGCAGCACCGAGACGCAGGAGGUGCGCUGGAGACAGGACAGAGGGCAGAGGGUCUCACUACGUACCCCAGGCUGGCCUCGAACUCACUGCAGCCCAUUACUGCUUCUGCUCUUCUCUUCUGGCCGUCACCCCUGGGCGGCACAGCGGGCCGCUUCCCGUGUUACCCGUGGGACGGAGUCGUGGCAGGACCUGGGUGGCCGCACGUGGGUUACGAGCAGACGCGGGCCACUCACUCAGCAGCUGCGGCUUCCGACCUGGAGGUCUCCGUUGCCUGCGCUCCGCAGGCCGCAGAGCGGAACAAGACUGCACAUUGUAGUUACUGGAGGACAGCGGCGCAGCAUACCGACAGCUCGAAACCCUGGAAUGAGGACUCACGGGUUCCUGCACUCUUCCCUCCGUUCUGGUGCGUGCCUGAAAAAGGACGCGAAAAAGGUUGAAACAAAACAAAACAAGGGCCAGUUCCAUCGCGCAGUCUCCCAGCCUUGCAUUCCUCCUCCCUUUAUAGCAAUGCUGCAAGAAGUUGUUUCCACAGUGCAGACCCGGCUGUUUCUUCCUCAUCCUCCCACCUGCUCUCUACCCUGAGCUGCACUCAUUCCCUCCUCCUGUUUGCACCCCUUAAUUCCAGCCUUCCCCUCCAUUCCACCAACGCUGCUUCUCCACAGGCCACUGUGUAAAUCAGGUGACUCUUUCUCUGUCCUCUUUUUCCUUGAACGUCAGCAAGACGAAGGUUGCACUCUCCAUCUGGGGAGGAUCUCGGUGUGGCUGUCAGCAGCGUCACUGUCAUUCUGCUCUUGGCAGAAGGUGGGACUUGCGCUGGUGCUCAGGACUCUCAGCCCCACUGAGGAGACAGGAGGAGGAAAGGCAGCUGGGCAGGCACUCUGGCCGUGUCCCUUGCAGGAAUCCAGAGACUUUCGACCGGGUCCAAGUGCAUCAGGGAGCAGCGCUGCAGAUGGGUUUGGGGAACCUACACGUGGAAGGAGCCGGAAGGGGCUUUACAUACUGUGGGAUCACAGCCUGAACAGAGAGAAACACCCUAUCCCGGCAGCGGAGGAACAGUGGCAUCGCGCCGCCUCCCAGGUGGGGCUCGGCCUGCAACGCUGAGGACCGGUGCAGAGCUGCGUGCGGGGAGAAAGCUCGCGAGGGUCAGAGGAGGGGCCAUCGUUACAGAACGCAAGUGCAGCUCGGCCAGAAGGCCUGGGUAGGGGCCUUGCUAACCACGGGAGGAAGGGGUCAGCCGCAGAGUGGAAGGUGAGAGAGGAAGGACUUUUUGUAUCGGGGAUGGAAGCCCGGGCCUUGGUAUCAGCUAAACGCCCAGCCCCUUUAUUUAUUUUGGUCCAUGGUAAUGUUAAAUGUUUUUAAAUAAAGUUUUAUUUUAUCUGCUUCCC